rnacentral:rRNA from 1 species
GAGAGUGCUGCUAUUUGGAUUCGAUUAAGCCAUGCAAGCUUCUAGCAAUAGAGGCGGAAGGCUCAGUAACACGUCGUUAAUCUGCCCUAAGGUCAGGGAUACCCACGGGAAACUGUGAUUAAUACCUGAUAAGGAAUCGAUACUGGAAUGUUUGAUUCUAUAAACUCGAGCCUUAGGAUGAGACGGCGGCCGAUUAGGUAGAUGGCGGUGUAAUGGACCACCAUGCCUUGGAUCGGUACGGGCCAUGAGAGUGGUAGCCCGGAGAGGGACACUGAGAGACUGGUCCCAGCCCUACGGGGUGCAGCAGGCGCGAAAACUUUCCAAUGCACGCAAGUGUGAGAAGGGAAUCCAAAGUGCUCAGGCUUUGCUUGGGCUUUUGCUAUGUGUAAAUAGCAUGGCGAAUAAGUGGUGGGCAAGACUGGUGCCAGCCGCCGCGGUAACCCCAGCGCCACGAGUGGCACUCGCGUUUAUUGGGCCUAAAGCGUCCGUAGCAGGUUCUAUACAUCCCUUGUGAAAUUGCCAAGCUCAACUUGGCAGAGUGCAGGGGGCACGGUAGGACUUUG